rnacentral:ncRNA from 1 species
ACGGACCGACAGGGGAGCGCACACAGCGCUGAGAGUGCGGCCGUACGCACGCCCGCGUGCACGUACGGCCCGCAGACCCUCGAACCUCGCCCGGGUCAUGCCGGGUAGGAAGUCGAUGUGCCAUAUGA